AUGCGCCAGCUAAGGCUCGUCACCAACAUGAGGGCUCAUAAUGACACUUGGUUUGCGGAUUACUUGCUAAGGGUAGGCAAUGGAACCGAGGAAGUUGACGAUCAAGGAAACAUACGACUCCCUGAAGAUAUUUGUGUACCGUCUACAGGCGAGGGUGACGACCUAGAGAAGCUGAUUGACCAUGUGUUUCCGAGACUACAUGACAACAUGUCUGAUCCGAAUUACAUGACUUCUCGCGCAAUCCUCUCCACCACGAACGACAACGUUGACAAGAUAAACAUACGCAUGGUAGAACGUUUUCGGGGAGAAGAAGUAAUCUACCAUAGCUUUGACAGUGCAGAGGACGACCCAUAUGGCUACUACGCUCCCGAGUUCCUUAAUGGAUUGACUCCCAACGGUCUGCCUCCGCAUGCACUCAAACUGAAGCUCAACUGCCCUGUCAUACUUCUGAGGAACAUUGAUCCGGCUAAUGGUCUGUGUAACGGGACGAGGCUUGUGGUGUGA
rnacentral:rRNA from 1 species